rfam:Biomphalaria glabrata isolate BB02 unplaced genomic scaffold LGTN_random_Scaffold5301, whole genome shotgun sequence.
GGUCACGGCCAUACCACGUUGAAAAUAGUGGUUCUCGUCCGGUCACAGGGGUCAAGCAAAGUCCAGCGUGGUUAGUACUUAGAUGGGUGACCGCUUGGGAACACCAUGCGUUGUAGACA